rnacentral:lncRNA from 1 species
CCUAAGUCCCAUACUAUAUAAAGUUGCCCGCCUUCUAUGAUUUUUGCACCUACGGUGCCAAUACCGCAUCAGCGGUUCUGCUGAUGCGGACCAAAUCACGCAUGUGCGGACAAAGGCCAAGCUUCCUCCUCUCGCUUCUGUUCUCAGGCGCUCGCGUUUGUAGACCCGUACCAGCAGCAAAAAGUGUGCACUUGCGGAGCUGUCCGCUCAUACGAUGGCUGCAUUCACAGGUGCGGUCUCUAGCCCAUUUAUGCAGUUGCUGGCCUCCCCUUUGCUGGUUCGCUUCUGAAGCUCGUGGCUCGUACCUGCGGCUGCUCAAGCGCAAGUGCGUUUACACCAGAAGCUAAAGCUUCAGCAUUUUCCUUAAGCCAAAACUUGAUCUGAGCCUCGUAACACAUGGGUACUCGUGGGCACCGUCCCAAUGUACCAACAAGUUUAGAAUCAUAAAAAGGACUCGCUCGAACUCUCGAAACGCACAAAAAAAAAUCAAAACUAAGAACCACACCCUAAACCAAUUGAAUCAAUGAAUAUGAACUUCAAGUUCUUCAAUUUACUCCCAACGCGCCGAAACGUACUUAAACUACUCGGAAUGCCAAAUUUUACGUAUAAGUCUUAAAUGAUAUUGCAAAACUAUUCCCGAUCUCAGAAUCCCAUUUGGACCUCGAUAAUACCAAACCUACUCCAAACCAAAUUUCAAGAACUUUAAAACCUUCAAAGAGCCAACUUUCACUAUUAGGCAUCGAAACUCUCCUGAGUUAUCCAAAAUUCGAUUGGAACAUACGGCCAAGUCAUCAUACGUACCUAUUGGGAUAGUCAAAUCCCGAUUCCGAGGUCGUUUACUCAAAAUAUUAAUCGAAGUCAAACUUAGUCUUUUAAAGCCAAAGCAUGGAACCAAGUGUUCCGAUUUCAACCCGAACUCUUCCAAAUUUCGACCUAAAUAUUUCUGCAAGUCAUAAAACAAUAAAAGUACGUACAAAAAGUCUUAUUUAAAAGAACGGGAUUCUCAAAAGCAAAACUACCGGUCGGGUCAUUAUAAUUUUCUUGUCCACUGUACUGAUGAUAGAUGUCCACUUUCAUCUGUUCAGUUUGAAAAAUCAGUAGAUAAUUUAGCAUUUUAUACCUAUUUUACCCUUCUUAGUAAGUACUAUGUAUUUCAAUUAAUUUUCCAACGUGUUUGUAUGAAUUUGUUGCCUAAGAGUUGUAUGUACAACUGGUGACAGGAUCGAAAUAAGUAAGUAUCAUACGGAAGCAAAUAACACAUAUGUUUAAUGACGAUAAAUCAGACAAUAAAAGAAAAAUAGAUAUAAAUAUUUAAUGUGGUUCGGUCAAUUGACCUACAUCUGCAAGCGAAGAUAAUCAAUCAACUAUAUAAAAAAAGGGUACAAAAUAUUGAGAGAACAACCUCAUAAAAAGGCACACACAAGUAAGCAAGAUAACAUUUAUCCCAAAAAAUUUUCCCUUAAACAAGACUCUCAAAUACCUUAGGAACUAUAUUGUAUCUGCUACCAAAAGAAAAGAAAGAUCCUUAAUUUAUAAAAGUUCAAAACAUUUUCCUCAAAAAAAAUAUCAAACCAAAUAUGAGUGAUUUAUAGUUUUUUUUAGGAAAAAAAGGAAAAAAUCAAUUAUGUAGUAAAUAUGUUUCGCUUCUUUCAAGAUAUAAAAAAACCGAUAUAUGAUAAAAGAAAUGAGGAUAAACUCCUGUUCCCAUAAUUUUUACCUAGUUCGUUGUCUGCUAGGCCAUAAUUUUUUUAUUUUUUAUUUUCCAAAUUUGUAUAAACAUGAUGUUAAAUUUAAUUUUUUUGUAUGUUGCAGUGUGGUUUUGUUGUCACAUUCAUACGUUGAAGGAAAGGACAUUAGACUAGUUGGAUGAAUGAAAGUUAGGAAUGUGCAAUCAAUGGCUGGUCACUAGUGACAAUUAGGGUCCAUAUGCCCAUCUGUCACUGAUCUGGAUCUUUUUUUGUUUAAGUUCUUGGUCGACAAUGACGUACUCAGGAAUUUUAGUAGGCAGUAUCAAUAUUUUAAAAAAUAAAUAAAUGAGUAAAUUAUUGUAAC